rnacentral:rRNA from 1 species
GUGCCAGCCGCUGCGGUAAUACGUAGGUGGCAAGCGUUGUCCGGAAUUAUUGGGCGUAAAGCGCGCGCAGGCGGUUCCUUAAGUCUGAUGUGAAAGCCCACAGCUCAACUGUGGAGGGUCAUUGGAAACUGGGGAACUUGAGUACAGAAGAGGAGAGCGGAAUUCCACGUGUAGCGGUGAAAUGCGUAGAUAUGUGGAGGAACACCAGUGGCGAAGGCGGCUCUCUGGUCUGUGACUGACGCUGAGCGCGAAAGCGUGGGAGCGAACAGGAUUAGAUACCCUGGUAGUCCACGCCGUAAACGAUGAGUGCUAGGUGUUAGGGUUUCCACCGUUAGUGCUGCAGUU